rnacentral:rRNA from 1 species
UACGUAGGGUGCAAGCGUUGUCCGGAAUUAUUGGGCGUAAAGAGCUCGUAGGCGGUUUGUCGCGUCUGCUGUGAAAACGCGAGGCUCAACCUCGCGCUGCAGUGGGUACGGGCGGACUUGAGUACUGCAGGGGAGACUGGAAUUCCUGGUGUAGCGGUGAAAUGCGCAGAUAUCAGGAGGAACACCGGUGGCGAAGGCGGGUCUCUGGGCAGUAACUGACGCUGAGGAGCGAAAGCGUGGGGAGCGAACAGG